UUUAUUGAGGAUUUUAUUUGUUAUGUUUGUUAAUGCAUUAUGCAAAGAGAAAUUACGAUUCAAAUUGCAGUAAAGCUAAAACAACGCAAUGCAUUUCAGCUAUUUAAAGGGAAGGAGGGGCAUUUAUUUAGUCCUCGCGUUGAUAUUUUAAUGACGACACCAUGAAAUAAAAGUUUCGAGUCACGUCCGGUUAACUGGUGUGGUCGGGGGGAAAAAGUUUCAAAAAGGAAACUCACCUUGGGACUCGGGAGGAGAUGCGUCGCUGCCAUCCUGGUCCGCCAUUUCUCCUGACGUCAGCUGAGAGGGAUCAGCGGCAGGAACCCGAGGGACCUGCUGCGAUGAUGCGGAGACCGGCACCCUCCUGACUCCCUACCCCACCCCACCGGACAGGUGGGGGGGCGACGCAGGCUAACGCCUAUUAGUGGAAUACACUUCUACUGAGGUUUCAACGUGAAGCUGGAUCCCACCUGGCCCCACCCGUUAUGACGGAGCUGUGGAGCGAGCUCUGAGCAGAACGACUGGAAACCGGGGGUUGGCUCUGGCUCUGCCCUUUAUGUAUCAAACCAAGAAACUAUACUCUUUAGUGAGCUUUAGAGAUGCUGGCGGGCAUAAAUGUAUUAGUAUUAUUCACUUUUAUAUGUUAAAUCAAGUUCAUCUGCUGAUGCAUCCUGCUUAAUACAUCUUAAUUACAUCUCGGGGCUCAUAGGAUCUAUUUAUAAGGACCUACUUUAUUUUACGUGAUCUUAAUAGAGUAAAGGCCGAUUUGAUAAUUGUUAGACCUUGCUGUAUUUAUUAUAUAGAUUUAUAUUUAUUUAAAAAUGCUGAUUUUUCAUUUGUACAGGGACCUGACUAUUUAAUGUAAGCUUUGUCUGGGCACAUACACACACACACACACACACACACACACUCUAUGUGAUGCUCUCUCCUCUCAGGUUUUCAUAUGAAACUGAUACAGAGCCUGACCUUUACUCCAAACCAGCAUUCUCCCCAUCUCUCUAUCGCACACACACACACACACGGUCAACACAAAACAAAAUACACCACGUCUAAUUUAGGUCUGAACAUGGAGGUGUUAACGGGCGUAAAGGCAGUGUGACUUCCUGUUUACCGACACCUGACCAAACAUCACGAGUAGAGCAGAAGUCCAGCUGCUCACACAGCGCCAUCGUGUAUCUAUUCAUGGUCGGACCGAUGGAAGCGAGCCGUAACGAUGCACCACGGUGACGACACGUCGACAUACUGAUGCGCUGGUUUCAUUCCCUUCCGUCUUCCGACACGGCCAUCAGCUUCCAAGCCUUCCAUGUCUUUCUACAGCAGUCAGCACGGCGCUAAUUGCGGCAGCCAGCAUGAUGUCAGACCGGCAAUAAUACCAGAGAGCCGGGGGAUUAUCAGGUGAUGGUAUCCCAUUUGCUGUGUGAAAGACAUAAUUUGAGGAGGUGUCAUGCUGCUGGGAAUAUCCAUGCUGAAAUAUGGCUUGAAGUCUGGGGGAAAUGGGACAUGUGCAGACAACAGAGGAGUCUUUUUCAACAGUAAUGCUACAAUGGGGAAGUAAAAAAUGGAUUUCCAUCCAGAAAUCCCAGCAGAAGCCGACUGCAGCACUCUAAAACACGAAACACUCAUUUGUUGCAGUGUUUUUGAGUUUUGAGCUUUAUGCAUUUGCAUUAAACAUUACAGGCUGUCACGGAAUUGGAAGAAAGGCAAAUGUUGAUUGACUGAGCACGCUGCGCCGGGAGCCAUCCAUCCCUCCCUGGAAAGCAUCACAUAGUCGAUCCGAGUGGGGAAGCGUCGUACGCGACUUGUAGAUCAAGCGCAUCUGCUGACGGACGACUGACACGCGGCCAAGAGCUCGUCCGGCUUUGAAAUGUAAAGCCAGUCCACACUCAGCUCUUUGCUACUUGAGUGAGAAGAACCCCCAGCCGGGCUGUGAAGAGAGGAGGACGCCUGCAAACAAGAUUGCAGCCGUAAAAAAGAAAAACGGCGGCUUCAGAUGGCUACAAAGAGACGAACUCUCUGAUGUUUGGGUAGAUGGAAGCAGUUCGGAGCUGCGGGGAGUCGUAAUGGCUGCGCACACACGCAGGCCGCCUGCUUGUCUUUCGGUGUCGGGAGACGAUUUGCAUUGCGACACUCUGUCAGCAGACACGCUGUGACAGACAGUCACGCUUUGGUGUUGACAUUCAGUGCCCUGCUGUGAUUUGUGCGGGUGUUUGUGCGCAUGCGCACUGCAAUACAAACUCAGUAAGAGUUGGAGAUGCGUCGCAUGAACCAAUAACCACACGCGCCUUCUGCUUCAUAUUUAAACGUGUGCCGUCCUCUGGCAUGUUCAUGUGUGCAGGCACGUGUGGAUGCACGCUCACGCCGCCUGGUUUCUUCUCUGAUUGGCUGAGUCUGAGGCGACAGACCAACUGUAUGCCUGCAGCGUGUGUGUGUGUUAGAGUGUGUGUGUGUGUGCUUGUGUGCUUGUGUGCAGACCCUCUGUUGGGAGGAAGGGGGUCAGAGCCAGACAAGGUGAUUGGCUGGUGAGGAGAGCCACAGCAUCAGCACAUCCUUAACCCACUGCCCUUCUUUCCCCUCCUUCUCCUUCUCUCUCGCUCUCUCUCUCUCUCUCCCCCCCCCCCCCCCCCCCCUGCCAACAUACUGCAGGGUGAGCGCUUUAGCAUUUACACAUCUAUAUAAUCCCUCGUUUCGUUGCACCCCCCCUCCAAAAUAUCUCCCGCCCCGUUCUUAAAUGAAGAGGGCGCAGAAUGAUGGAGCUGUCGACAGAUCAUCCCUCGAAAGGUGAAAUGGGUUGAAAAGGUCAAAAUUCCGGCGUCGCUUCACACAAACAGGGAACCUGAACCACGGACGGCCAUGGCCUGGUCACGCCUCUUGCUCUAGAGGACGACCCGAUAUAGACGUGAAUACCAGCGGCAGGGAACACAAUGACUGCAGAAUGCAGGUUCUUAAUAUACACCUGUGAUGAACAUCAUUUGGAACGCGGACCAAAAACCGUGGUGCGUAAAAGGCGCAACCGUGCGCUUUCUCCCCCAGAGACGAUAUAGAGGCGUGUAGUCGAUAAAUGCAAUGUGUUAAGAUGUUAAGAGCAACGUUAUUAAACCAGACGGCUAUAUUCUCGCCUCGGUCGCGCGAGCCGGCAGGUAUCAGUGUUGCAGAGGACAAAGAGACAUCAAUAAACCCAAAGACACCGACUGUUUAAUGGAGGGCGAUGGGGUUCACUGUAAAAUGGGGGGGGGGGGGGGGGGUAAUUCCGACGCCUUUGCAAAGAACGGAGCAUCGAAAAUCCCAGAUGAGCAUAACUGAUCCAUGAUAAUGUGGCUCAAGCUAUACAGCACGCGUAAAGUCGGCCAAGCAGAGCGGGUGUUCACAAAUUAAUUCUAGUGAGUGAGUUUACAUUUGAUAUAAUGUUGGGUUCAAACCAUAGACCCCAUAUCACCUUGACGAAUCGGGGAUUCCGGACCGUUAUCCCUAUGUGUGUGUGUGUGAUUCCGUCCACAUGUCUCCGGAGACGUGCAUAUGUGAAGGUGUCGGUGACCAGCGCGCCCGCUGUAACCGUGUGUGAUGUGUGUAAGAU